rnacentral:rRNA from 1 species
UACGUAGGGGGCAAGCGUUGUCCGGAAUCAUUGGGCGUAAAGCGCGUGUAGGCGGCUUGGUAAGUCUGCUCUGAAAGCCCGGGGCUCAACCCCGGGAGGCGGGUGGAUACUGUCAAGCUCGAGUCCGGAAGAGGAGUGUGGAAUUCCUGGUGUAGUGGUGAAAUGCGUAGAGAUCCGGAGGAACACCAGUGGCGAAGGCGACACGCUGGGCCGUACCUGACGCUAAAGCGCGACAGCAUGGGGAGCAAACGGG